rnacentral:tRNA from 1 species
GUAGUCUGGUUAGUAUACUGGUUUGCCAAAUCAGUGACCCGGGUUCGAUUCCCGGGCGGCGCA